rnacentral:misc_RNA from 1 species
AAGUCGUAACAAGGUUUCCGUAGGUGAACCUGCGGAAGGAUCACCAAUAAUCCAAAUGAUCAGUGACUUAAAAAACCACUGGUCUAACCUUCUUGUGAACCGUUUAUUGUUUAUUGGUUGGGAGUAUAACUGAGAUGUCAACUUUGUUGUCGGAUCGACUCCCAAUCGAUUAUCUUUAUACAAACUAUUUUAUUUUUGAAGUUGAUUAUUUUACAGGAAACUGUACUAAUAUAUAUACAACUUAUAGCGAUGGAUCUCUAGGCUCUG